UGUUGUUUUUAUAUCGGAAUC
rnacentral:piRNA from 1 species